rnacentral:misc_RNA from 1 species
UUCCAUGCAAUUCUAUGUAUAGAGUUAGAGUAGCCUUACACUUUAUUGUGGCAUUUUUCAACUCGCAGGAUAUAGCCUAUUAUCGCCCACCGGGUGCCCAUCACGGUGUAAAAGGGAAAUGGGUGCUGGAACAUCAACUGAAGCUGCUUUAACAUUGGCCAAUACCAACGAUGUAACAGAGACAGGUAAAGCAAGUAACAACUGGGCAAAGAUGGCUCCUGGACCAACUAAGCCUACUCAUAGACAGCAGUCACAGUUUGAUAUAAAAGACAUACCCAGUGAGUGUCCCAUGCACCAGUCCCAGGAGGCAGUAGCAGUUCCAGCUCAGAGAUUCCCAAGUGAAUGUCCUAUGCAUCAGGCUGAACUUGGGGCUGGAGAUGCUCCCAAUCUUGAUCCUACCAACAUGAUGGAACCUCCCAACCAAAGGCCUGCCCCUGAUCAACCAUUUCCUCUUUCCACUGACAGGAUCAAAUCGUCCAUACCAAAGGCAGAUAAAGAGGGAGAAAAAUGGGUAUAUCCCUCUCCUCAGAUGUUCUGGAAUGCAAUGCUCAGGAAAGGGUGGCGCUGGAAGGAUGAUGACUUGAAUCCAAAUGAUAUGGCCCACAUCAUAAAUAUUCACAAUGCAAACAAUGAACAGGCCUGGCAGGAAGUACUCAAGUGGGAAGCUUUACAUGCAAAGGAAUGUAGCAACCCAAGACUGAGAAAGUUUGGAGGCAAAGCUAAAGAAUUCUCACCACGAGCAAGAAUUAGAAGUUGGAUGGGUUAUGAGCUUCCAUUUGACAGACAUGACUGGAUUGUUGACCGUUGUGGCAAAGAUGUGCGAUACAUUAUUGACUAUUAUGAUGGUGGGGCAGUAGACACUGACACCAAUAGGUUUACGUUACUUGAUGUCCGCCCUGCAUUAGAUUCACCAGGUGCCCUCUGGGAUAGAAUGAAAGUAGCAUGGAUGCGCUGGAAAUAUAGCAGUGUCGCAGCUGAUGACAUCGACCCUCACAGUGCCAAACAAAGAAUGAAUGUUCAGUUAAAACACCCAAACUGGAUACAGUAUUAUCUAAGUGUAGACACUACUGCACUGAUUUAGGAGUUCUGUUGAUAGUGUUUGCAUAGGAGGUUUGUCUUCAGAAAUGUGUUAUCACAUUAGGGUCGGUCUCAAAAGUGUGACAAUGCUGCUCAUAUCACUGGUAUUAGAUUCACUAUUGACAAAAGUCAAAAUAGAAUAUCUUGCUAGGAAGGAGAAAACGUUGUUGACACAAAUUUGAAGGUGCUUUAAUGAGGCAUGACAUGUAAAGUGAAGUGAAAUCAGGAAUAAUGUUUUAUUUCUGUAAAUAUGAAAAAGCAUUUAAUCCAUUCUUUUGGUUGUUUGUUGAGCAGUCUCUGAGUGUCAGAAAAAUAUGGUGAACAAUAUCGCACACUUGACUAUUAUAAGGGAAUAAUGUACGAUUUCAGUGGCGACGAGUCCAUUAUCCAGAAUGGCGAUGAAGGUUCUCAGUCAAUUUGAUAACCCAUGCCAGACCAUUUCUUUCCUGAUAUGGUAGCUACAUGUAGCUGUUACUAUUAUAUAUCGGGUGUCUCAA